GGCAUCUAUGGGCAUAUAUCGAGCAUCCGGGUGCUCGGGCCGCCAUUUUGUAUAUUCUGUCCACUUCUACGUGCCUCGUCUCGGCAGCCUUCUGCGUCGCACCAUGCCUCGAGCUCCUGCUGGUCUUAGUUACGCGCUAACGGUGGCAGCGCUUGUCGAAGUUUCACGCUGCGCACGUUCCCGCCUUCGGCCGACUCUGGAAGCACUGGCUUCAUGCUCCGGCGCCUGAAAAACGUGAGGCACGCCUCGAGAGACUUGUAGCCCGACCCGCCUGCCGUCUCGGCAAUUCCUGGCCCCGCUUUCGAGCUCCCGGAGUGUAAGUGACCGCCAGCCGGCAUAACUACGUUACUAUACGCCGACGACACUCCGGUCGAGCCGGCGCAGCGUAUAUAAGCCGCAAGUCGUUCCUGCCGAGUACUCCUUCUUUUGUUUGUGCGCGUUCCCACCCCCCGACGGCUCCGGGACUAUUGAACUGUGGAUGAACUCUGAGCGUGGCCACUAACCCCAGGACCUGCGCUGCAACCCCUCGUCAUGGCGAGCGUCGUCUCUACGAGCUUCGCAUCGAGCGUCCUAAACGCUCAAAAGGCCUGUGUGUGCACUUUGUGCAUUUUUUCUAGAUGGUCUAGCUGGCGAGGGUGGCGCAUGCCUUAGAGAAGUUAACUGUUUGUUCAGUUGCACUAGCUAGCGCUCACUAGGGUUGUAUAGCUGCACUACAAGAUUCCGUAAAGUUAGUGUUGUUGCUUAGCUGUAAGCCCGAGGUUUCGUGGGCAUGGCUUGCGGCCACACGGGUCUUCUCCGUGCCGGAAUCGAAGAGGACGGGCCACGUGUUGCGGGGUGGCGGUGUAUAGCUUCAGGUUUAGCUGACACACAGCUUAGCUCACACUAGGCAGGCUACAGCUGAUAGCCGUCCUCUUACGACUGCGUCAGGGACAUGGACCCAUCCGAACGGCCUUGCGACCCGACCCCAUUAUUUCGUGACGUAGAUAGCCCGCGCGCGUCAGUGCGCGUGCUAUCGAGCGAAAUGUGGAAUGACGGAAGCAAACGGCCUUCGGAAAUUACCUCGCCAGCUAUUAGGCACUAACCCGCUCUACGCAGCACCUCGACGCCGGACAUCGCCUGCUGUUUUCGUCGGAGCUGGGCCGGGCAGCAACUACAAGCGUCACUCGUACCGCGCGCGGUCUACCGUGUUCCCUCGUCGGUGCGACCUUGCGGCCCUGCACCGGGAUCCCGAGGUCCGCUUCCGAGAUUGCGGACCACGAGUCGGAAGGAUAUCCAGUGUGCUUCUCACGUUCGCCAUCCUCCCAACGUCCCCCACCGGAGAUGGC